rfam:Loxodonta africana unplaced genomic scaffold scaffold_11, whole genome shotgun sequence.
AUAUUGGUGGUUCAGUGGUAGAAUUCCUGCCUUCCAAGCAGGAGGCCUGGGUUCGAUUCCCAGCCAAUGCA